UACGGAAGGCAGCAGUGGGGAAUAUUGCACAAUGGGCGCAAGCCUGAUGCAGCCAUGCCGCGUGUAUGAAGAAGGCCUUCGGGUUGUAAAGUACUUUCAGCGGGGAGGAAGGCGAUGCGGUUAAUAACCGCGUCGAUUGACGUUACCCGCAGAAGAAGCACCGGCUAACUCCGUGCCAGCAGCCGCGGUAAUACGGAGGGUGCAAGCGUUAAUCGGAAUUACUGGGCGUAAAGCGCACGCAGGCGGUCUGUUUAAGUCAGAUGUGAAAUCCCCCGGGCUUAACCUGGGAACUGCAUUUUGAAACUGGCAGGCUUGAGUCUUGUAGAGGGGGUAGAAUUCCAGGUGUAGCGGUGAAAUGCGUAGAGAUCUGGAGGAAUCCGGUGGCGAAGGCGGCCCCUGGGACAAAGACUGACGCUCAGGUGCGAAAGCGUGGGGAGCAAACGAGGAUUAGGAUACC
rnacentral:rRNA from 1 species